UUCUCUCUUCCCAAGUUCCAAGUCGGUAUUAAGUCGUAUGUAGACCUCCACUCCCCUCUUCCGUUACCUCACCUGUCUUGUAUGGCUGUUUGAAUUAUCCAAAUCUUCUAUUCGUCAGCCGCGACGAGCAUCGCUGAGGACGGGAACAAGGAGACAGAAGCUGCCCUCAUCGGGAAGCAAAGAGAGUUCUUUUCGGCAUUUCUAUCAGUGAUUACAGUCAGUAUUUGCGAUUCCCAAUCAGUGAGGCUUGCCCCAUUAAGUGCAGCUAUUUAAUGUGAUUUCCGCGGUUGACUUUGUUCUUUUAGAUGACGUAUCUGUGCACUCUUUUAUGGUGUUUUAAUUUUGAAUGAUUUAUUGGUAACUAAAGCAAGCUUCUUUAGUUCA